rnacentral:lncRNA from 1 species
CGCGCUGCUUAUACUCUUUGAAGCAAAUUAAUUCAUUCCAAACCAAUGUCUUUGUCUCAUGCAAUUCCACCCGAUCUAACUAUGAUAGGUACUACAUUUUCUUCUUGUAAUAAUAAUAAUAAUAAUAAUAAUAAUCUAUAACAAUAUAUAAAGGGGAUAAGAGAGUUUGGGCUGAAUUUUUUUUGGUCCAUUUUGCCCUUAACUUCCUUUAUGGUUUUUUAAUUAUUCCAUAAUUGCCCUUAACUUCCUCUCUUUUUUUUAUGGUUUUUUCAUCUAUAUCUAUUCUAUACUAUAAUAUAUAAAAAGAAUACAUGAGUUUUGGGGUAGAAUUUUCAUAAUACCAACAUUACCCUUACUUUUUUUUAGUAGCAACAAAAAUCUUUUAUUAACAAACUCACCAUAAUAUAAGGCGUAUCUUUUUUUUUGGGUACAUAAGUUAGACACAGGCAGGCGCGCGCCUGACCCUCUAGUAAUAAUAAUAAUAAUCUUUAGAUUUGUUAGUUAUCUUCAAAUUAAGCCUUUUUUUAUUUACAGUUAAGCCUUUUAUUUUGAUGAAUUAGAUUUAGAUCUAUAUUUAUUGUUAAUACUAAGUAGUAUAUAUGGUUUUGUGUUUGCAUAAUUAUCUCUCACUAACAUGUGAUGUGGUCGUUUUGUUGUUCUUUCAGUAAAGCGGUUGAAGAUUGCUAUUAUUUGUUCAAAUGGAAUGGUCGUUCUUGAUGAUUUCAUUGCUAUUAUGAUUUCUUUGAUUAGACAAUAUGAUUUUGGCCUUCAUUAUUUCUCAACGUAUAGGAUCAAGUCUCUCGUGUAAUUCAUGUGAAUAUUUAUAGAGCGGGGAGGGAGAUCAAUAAUUCUUUGACUCUUUGACAAUGUCAAAGUUCCUUUAAUCAGUUGUUCCUUUUCCGCUUCUAAUGGAUCGUAAUAGUGUGUGUCUAUAUAUAUAUAUAUAUAUAUAUAUAUAUAUAUAUAUAUAUAUAUAUAUAUAUAUAUAUAUAUCAAUAUUUGCAAAAUACAUACAAUUACCA